rnacentral:rRNA from 1 species
AACGAACGCUGGCGGCAGGCCUAACACAUGCAAGUCGAGCGCACCUUCGGGUGAGCGGCGGACGGGUUAGUAACGCGUGGGAAUAUGCCCUUCACUACGGAAUAGCCUCGGGAAACUGAGAGUAAUACCGUAUACGCCCUUCGGGGGAAAGAUUUAUCGGUGAAGGAUUAGCCCGCGUCUGAUUAGAUAGUUGGUGGGGUAACGGCCUACCAAGUCUACGAUCAGUAGCUGGUUUGAGAGGAUGACCAGCAACACUGGGACUGAGACACGGCCCAGACUCCUACGGGAGGCAGCAGUGGGGAAUCUUAGACAAUGGGCGCAAGCCUGAUCUAGCCAUGCCGCGUGAGUGACGAAGGCCUUAGGGUCGUAAAGCUCUUUCGCCAGAGAUGAUAAUGACAGUAUCUGGUAAAGAAACCCCGGCUAACUCCGUGCCAGCAGCCGCGGUAAUACGGAGGGGGUUAGCGUUGUUCGGAAUUACUGGGCGUAAAGCGUACGUAGGCGGAUUGGAAAGUUGGGGGUGAAAUCCCGGGGCUCAACCCCGGAACUGCCUCCAAAACUAUCAGUCUAGAGUUCGAGAGAGGUGAGUGGAAUUCCAAGUGUAGAGGUGAAAUUCGUAGAUAUUUGGAGGAACACCAGUGGCGAAGGCGGCUCACUGGCUCGAUACUGACGCUGAGGUACGAAAGUGUGGGGAGCAAAUAGGAUUAGAUACCCUGGUAGUCCACACCGUAAACGAUGAAUGCCAGACGUCGGGGGGCUUGCCCUUCGGUGUCACACCUAACGGAUUAAGCAUUCCGCCUGGGGAGUACGGUCGCAAGAUUA